rnacentral:rRNA from 1 species
AAUGGGGGCAACCCUGACGCAGCCAUGCCGCGUGAAUGAAGAAGGCCUUCGGGUUGUAAAGUUCUUUCGGUAGCGAGGAAGGCAUUUAGUUUAAUAGACUAGGUGAUUGACGUUAACUACAGAAGAAGCACCGGCUAACUCCGUGCCAGCAGCCGCGGUAAUACGGAGGGUGCGAGCGUUAAUCGGAAUAACUGGGCGUAAAGGGCACGCAGGCGGCUAUUUAAGUGAGGUGUGAAAUCCCCGGGCUUAACCUGGGAAUUGCAUUUCAGACUGGGUAGCUAGAGUACUUUAGGGAGGGGUAGAAUUCCACGUGUAGCGGUGAAAUGCGUAGAGAUGUGGAGGAAUACCGAAGGCGAAGGCAGCCCCUUGGGAAUGUACUGACGCUCAUGUGCGAAAGCGUGGGGAGCAAACAGGAUUAGAUACCCUGGUAGUCCACGCUGUAAACGCUGUCGAUUUGGGGAUUGGGCCUUGAGCUUGGUGCCCGAAGCUAACGUGAUAAAUCGACCGCCUGGGGAGUACGGCCGCAAGGUUAAAACUCAAAUGAAUUGACGGGGGCCCGCACAAGCGGUGGAGCAUGUGGUUUAAUUCGAUGCAACGCGAAGAACCUUACCUACUCUUGACAUCCAUGGAAUCUUGUAGAGAUACGGGAGUGCCUUCGGGAACCAUGAGACAGGUGCUGCAUGGCUGUCGUCAGCUCGUGUUGUGAAAUGUUGGGUUAAGUCCCGCAACGAGCGCAACCCUUAUCCUUUGUUGCCAGCGAUUCGGUCGGGAACUCAAAGGAGACUGCCGGUGAUAAACCGGAGGAAGGUGGGGAUGACGUCAAGUCAUCAUGGCCC